rnacentral:rRNA from 1 species
CCUACGGGAGGCUGCAGUGGGGAAUAUUGCUCAAUGGCGGAAACCCUGAUGCAGCGACGCCGCGUGAGUGAAGACGUAUUUCGGUAUUUUAAGCUCUAUCAGCAGGGAAGAAAAUGACGGUACCUGUUUAAGAAGCCCCGUCUAAAUACGUACCAGCAGCCGCGGUAAUACGGAGGGGGCAAGCGUUAUCCGGAUUUACUGGGUGUAAAGGGGGCGUAGACGGCAGCACGAGUGCGGAGUGAAAAGCCCGGGGUUAACCCCGGAACUGCCUUGGAAACUGUGCAGCUAGAGUGCAUGAGAGGUAAGUGGAAUGCCUAGUGUAGCGGUGAAAUGCGUAGAUAUUACGAGGAACACCAGUGGCGAAGGCGGCUUACUGGACUGUAACUGACGUUGAUGCACGAAAGCGUGGGGAGCAAACAGGAUUAGAUACCCCAGUAGUC